rnacentral:tRNA from 1 species
AGCCGCAUAGCUCAGGGCAGAGCACCGUCUUGAUAAGGCGGGGGUCGAUGGAUCGUUCCCAUCUGUGGCUA